GGCUGGAUAGCAAAGAGGAUAUGCAGUGGCCUGCAAAGCCAUGUACACCAGUUCGAAUCUGGUUCCAGCCUCCA
rnacentral:tRNA from 1 species